rnacentral:rRNA from 1 species
CCUACGGGUGGCUGCAGUGGGGAAUAUUGCACAAUGGGGGAAACCCUGAUGCAGCGAAGCCGCGUGAAGGAAGAAGUAUUUCGGUAUGUAAACUUCUAUCAGCAGGGAAGAAAAUGACGGUACCUGACUAAGAAGCCCCGGCUAACUACGUGCCAACCACCGCGGGAAUACGUAGGGGGCAAGCGUUAUCCGGAUUUACUGGGUGUAAAGGGAGCGUAGGCGGCGAUGCAAGUCAGCAGUGAAAGCCCGGGGCUCAACUCCCGGACUGCUUUUGAAACUGUGUUGCUAGAUUGCAGGAGAGGUAAGUGGAAUGCCUGGUGUAGCGGUGAAAUGCGUAGAUAUUAGGAAGAACACCAGUGGCGAAGGCAGCUUACUGGACUGUAAAUGACGCUGAGGCUCGAAAGCGUGGGGAGCAAACAGGAUUAGAUACCCGAGUAGUC